CUAGCAAAUUAGUAUCUAGUUUAAUAUAAUUUCUAACUACCUUAACCUUAGUCGACUAAUCUUUUUACUUUUAGUCGAUACCCUUUUCGCAUUAAAAUGGAUAAGCGACCUCAAUAGUAGUCGAGAAAAUUUGACUAUAUCGAAUUCAAAUAACUUAUAUUGGGAUCUCUUCUGGGUGUAAAAGGUACAUCAAAAGAGUUAUGAUGAGCUUGAGUGAAAAUUUGCUUGAAAGUCGGAGUGGAUGAAGUUGAAUGUAUGAUUGCAUCAACAUUGUGAUCGAUUGAUAGGCCAUACAUGGACAAGCGCAAACCUAGAGUUAGAUCACCGCAAAGGGGACAUAGGGGAAGAAGGUGUCUGAAGACACCUAAUAAUGAUUUAAAUAUAAAAAGGGUUUUUGGUUUAGUUCAAUGUGUCCUAAUAUGUAUUUAAUUGAAGUAUAAUGUUUCUUUUGGUCCUCAUUAUAGUACGAAAGGAAAAAUAAGAAAAAAAGAAACAAGAAUGAACUCUAAUUACAAAUAAUAUUUUUAUAUGAAGAUCUAUUCUAAGGUCAAGUGAUCAAUUUCAUUUGUUGAAGGGACAAACAUGAUACAUCGACGUACAUUAGAGUCACUUAUUAAUUAUUAUAAUGAAGGGUUUCUUGCAUUAACAUAACUCCUAAAAACUUUUUAAUUGAAGUAAACAUAACAUUAGGUUUUUAUUAUAAGGUGAUCAAACAAUUCUCUACUUGUCAGAUAAAAAGGUAGAACAAAAUGGCUAAAACUCUCAAGGUUGAUUACACUAUGAUUCUUUUAGUGUCCCUAUUUCUUCUUUAAUCACCACUAGUGAUCUACCCACGUCUUCUGUGUCUCCUCUUAUUAUAUAUUUGUAUGCAAACUUUGGUGAUGACAAGAAAUCAAUAGAGCUUGUGGAAUACUAGAGAUCUAUAAGGCUCCUUCGUUGAUGACUUGAAGCAGUUACAGAAGCAGUUGUGGUUAACCUUCUAAAAAUCAUUAUGAAAUGAAAAAAAUAAGAGACACAUAUAUGUGUAUCAAAAUAAUUAAAUAUAAAUGCACUUUUAACUCUUUAAAGAUUUCAAUUGUUUGAGUUUUUGAA